AUGCAGUUCCCCCUGAAGUACCUGGGUCUCCCACUCUCAAUCUUCAAAUUGAGGAGACAAGAUAUUCUGCCCCUGAUUGACAAGUUCUCCAGCAAGUUGAAAGGGUGGAAACCCAAGCUGUUGGCGCCAGCAGGCAGAGUGACGCUGACGGGCUCGGUUCUGUUGGCUCUUCCGAUGCAUUUCUUGGUUGUUUUCCCUUUACCGGCGUGGGCUCUAAAGAUCAUUGACAAGAGAUGUAGAGCUUUUGUAUGGAGGGGUGAGGAGGAAAUGAAUGGAGGCCUUUGCCUGGUUCCCUGGGCCCGGGUUUGCAGACCUAAGGAAUGGGGAGGCCUCGGUCUUUUGAACCUGAAAGACUUCGGGAUUGCGCUCCGGUGUCGAUGGCAGUGGCUAAGAUGGGAUGCGGAAGAGCGCCCGUGG
rnacentral:rRNA from 1 species